rnacentral:rRNA from 1 species
AUUGAACGAUGGCGGCAGGCCUAACACAUGCUAGUCGAACGAGUGGCGGACGGGUGAGUAAUGUCUGGGAAACUGCCUGAUGGAGGGGGAUAACUACUGGAAACGGUAGCUAAUACCGCAUACCAUCGGAUGUGCCCAGAUGGGAUUAGCUAGUGGUUGGGGUAAAGGCUCACCGUGGCGACGAUCCCUAGCUGGUCUGAGAGGAUGACCAUCCACACUGGAACUGAGACACGGUCCAGACUCCGACGGUAGGCAGCAGUGGGGAAUAUUGCACAAUGGGCGCAAGCCUGAUGCAGCCAUGGCGCGUGUAUGAAGAAGGCCUUCGGGUUUUAAAGUACUUUCAGCGGGGAGGCGUUACCCGCAGAAGAAGGAACGGCUAACUCCGUGCCAGCAGCCGCAGUAAUAC